rnacentral:sRNA from 1 species
CUUGGUCAUUUAGAGGAAGUAAAAGUCAUAACAAGGUUUCCGUAGGUGAACCUGCGGAAGGAUCAUUAAUAGUGCCCAUUGAUGCAAAUCAUUGGGUUAGAUCUGCCCUUAUCGCAAGAUGAGGGCUUCCAUAUACACCGUGAACUGUGGCUUCGGCCAUCACAAACUGUUAGUAAUGAAUGUAAUAUCAUAACAAAAACAAAACUUUUAACAACGGAUCUCUUGGCUCUCGCAUCGAUGAAGAACGCAGCGAAAUGCGAUAAGUAAUGUGAAUUGCAGAAUUCAGUGAAUCAUCGAAUCUUUGAACGCACCUUGCGCCCUUUGGUAUUCCGAAGGGCAUGCCUGUUUGAGUGUCAUGAAACCUCACCCCACUUAGGUUUUUGCCUAAGCGGUGGUGUACUGGGUGUUUGCCUUGCUAAAGGCUCGCCUUAAAGAUAUAAGCACCUUGGAUGUAAUACGUUUCAUCCUUCUGGGUGGCUGAUAACCCCACAUAUUCAUGAUCUGGCCUCAAAUCAGGUAGGGCUACCCGCUGAACUUAAGCAUAUCAAUAAGCGGAGGAAAAGAAACUAACUAGGAUUCCCUUAGUAACGGCGAGUGAACCGGGAUGAGCUCAAAUUUAAAAUCUGGCGUCUUUCAGGCGUCCGAGUUGUAAUCUAUAGAGGCGUUUUCCGCGCCGGACCGCGUCCAAGUCUCUUGGAAUAGAGUAUCAAAGAGGGUGACAAUCCCGUACUUGACGCGACAACCGGUGCUCUGUGAUACGUUCUCAAUGAGUCGAGUUGUUUGGGAAU